rnacentral:tRNA from 1 species
AACAGAAGCCGGGAUAGC